rnacentral:rRNA from 1 species
UACGUAGGGGGCAAGCGUUGUCCGGAAUCAUUGGGCGUAAAGCGCGUGUAGGCGGCUCGAUAAGUCUGCUGUGAAAGUCCAAGGCUCAACCUUGGGAUGCCGGUGGAUACUGUCGAGCUCGAGUCCGGAAGAGGAGUGUGGAAUUCCUGGUGUAGCGGUGAAAUGCGCAGAUAUCAGGAGGAACACCUAUAGCGAAGGCAGCUUGCUGGGACGUUACUGACGCUAAGGCGCGAAAGCGUGGGGAGCGAACAGG